CAGAGUUCGUGCCCUCACGGGUAGAUCUCCCACCCUUGUGUAAUCAUAACUAUCUGUUGCUUUGGCGGGCCGCGAGUUCGCUCGCUCUAGCGUCCGCCAGAGGACCAUCAAACUCUGAAUGUUAGUGUCGUCUGAGUACUAUAUAAUAGUUA
rnacentral:misc_RNA from 1 species